GACGAACGCUGGCGGCGUGCUUAACACAUGCAAGUCGAACGGAAAGGCCCUGCUUGCAGGGUACUCGAGUGGCGAACGGGUGAGUAACACGUGGGUGAUCUGCCCUGCACUUCGGGAUAAGCCUGGGAAACUGGGUCUAAUACCGGAUAGGAGCCAUUUUUAGUGUGAUGGUUGGAAAGUUGUUUCGGUGUAGGAUGAGCUCGCGGCCUAUCAGCUUGUUGGUGGGGUAAUGGCCUACCAAGGCGGCGACGGGUAGCCGGCCUGAGCGGGUGGACGGCGACAGCUGGAGCAGUGUCCGUCCAAGACGCCGUCGUGAGACGGAAGGGGGUAGGAUGGACGCAGGGGCACACGCUGUGUGCGGCGAGGCCGUGGGGGGGGGUGUGGUCUUCGUUGUUAACAUUCCGGUCGGUGGGGAAUAAGGGUUUUGUUGCUUUCCAUAUAUAAGCAGCAACGGCUAACCACGGCCCGGGAGCGGGGUUGAUGACGGCAGAGCCACGGCCGAAC
rnacentral:rRNA from 1 species